rnacentral:rRNA from 1 species
GACGAACGCUGGCGGCGCGCUUAACACAUGCAAGUCGAACGGAAAGGCCUGCUUUCCCUUGUGGAUUGCGGGUACUCGAGUGGCGAACGGGUGAGUAACACGUGAGUGAUCUGCCCCCAACUUGGGUAUAAGCCUGGGAAACUGGGUCUAAUUCCCGAUAGGACUGCAGGGUGGUGCCUGUGGUGGAAAACGAUUUUCUAGUGGUUGGGGAUGAGCUCGCGGCCUAUCAGCUUGUUGGUGGGGUAAUGGCCUACCAAGGCGGCGACGGGUAGCCGGCCUGGGAGGGUGGACGGCCACAUUGGGACUGAGAAACGGCCCAGACUCCUACGGGAGGCAGCAGUGGGGAAUAUUGCACAAUGGGCGGAAGCCUGAUGCAGCGGCGCCGCGUGGGGGAUGACGGCCUUCGGGUUGUAAACUCCUUUCGACCGCGAGGAAGCCACCUGGUUGGAAGGGUGGUGACGGUAGUGGUAGAAGAAGCACCGGCUAACUACGUG